GUGAGUGUACAAAGCUGUCCAGGACUCAACACGUGUGGAUGUCCUCCACUAAAGAACCAAUGGGUUCUUUCUAUUUUAGCUUCCAGUCGAUGGUACAAGUAUUGUCAUUCACCUGCUGCUAGAAGGCUGGCAUGCAGGACCAGAUAUCAACUGUCUUGUCCUCUGUCCUGUUCUCUAAUCAGAAAUCACAAAUGAACCACCUGCUGGAGCUGAGGCUCAAGCGCCAGGUCAUCUGUAAGCUGGAGAUGGAGAUGGUGAUUGCGUAUGGAUCCUUGGGUUACGGAUACUCCCACCAGGUUAGAGGGAGACACAUCAGUGUUUGUGUAGAUGUGGAGGAAGAAUUGAUCUUGCCUAUCUAUUAUUUACUCCCUAGUUGAAGCACCCAAAUAGAAACAUGGAGAGCCUAGUGGAGCGCUCGCUCUUCCUCCGCUGUCCACCACCGGACGACCGCAAAGACCAUCACUAUAAUGUGGUCACUCCUAAGCCAGUACCUUAUUCAGACUUCAUCGCAGCGCUGAUGUACAGAGAGACCACCAACCCAGACAACAGGACGACUUACCCCUCAAACAGCACAAUAUCCCCCAUCAUCCUGGAAUGUAUGGAGAAGAGG